GUAUCAGAAGUGCGAAUGCUGACAUAAGUAACGAUAAAGCGGGUGAAAAGCCCGCUCGCCGGAAGACCAAGGGUUCCUGUCCAACGUUAAUCGGGGCAGGGUGAGUCGACCCCUAAGGCGAGGCCGAAAGGCGUAGUCGAUGGGAAACGGGUUAAUAUUCCCGUACUUGGUGUUACUGCGAAGGGGGGACGGAGAAGGCUAUGUUGGCCGGGCGACGGUUGUCCCGGUUUAAGCGUGUAGGUGUGUGUUCCAGGUAAAUCCGGUUCACUUUAACACUGAGGCGUGACGACGAGGCACUACGGUGCUGAAGCAACAAAUGCCCUGCUUCCAGGAAAAGCCUCUAAGCAUCAGGUAACAUCAAAUCGUACCCCAAACCGACACAGGUGGUCAGGUAGAGAAUACCAAGGCGCUUGAGAGAACUCGGGUGAAGGAACUAGGCAAAAUGGUGCCGUAACUUCGGGAGAAGGCACGCUGACACGUAGGUGAAGUGAUUUACUCAUGGAGCUGAAGUCAGUCGAAGAUACCAGCUGGCUGCAACUGUUUAUUAAAAACACAGCACUGUGCAAACACGAAAGUGGACGUAUACGGUGUGACGCCUGCCCGGUGCCGGAAGGUUAAUUGAUGGGGUCAGCGCAAGCGAAGCUCCUGAUCGAAGCCCCGGUAAACGGCGGCCGUAACUAUAACGGUCCUAAGGUAGCGAAAUUCCUUGUCGGGUAAGUUCCGACCUGCACGAAUGGCGUAAUGAUGGCCAGGCUGUCUCCACCCGAGACUCAGUGAAAUUGAACUCGCUGUGAAGAUGCAGUGUACCCGCGGCAAGACGGAAAGACCCCGUGAACCUUUACUAUAGCUUGACACUGAACAUUGAGCCUUGAUGUGUAGGAUAGGUGGGAGGCUUUGAAGUGUGGACGCCAGUCUGCAUGGAGCCGACCUUGAAAUACCACCCUUUAAUGUUUGAUGUUCUAACGUGGACCCGUGAUCCGGGUUGCGGACAGUGUCUGGUGGGUAGUUUGACUGGGGCGGUCUCCUCCUAAAGAGUAACGGAGGAGCACGAAGGUUGGCUAAUCCUGGUCGGACAUCAGGAGGUUAGUGCAAUGGCAUAAGCCAGCUUGACUGCGAGCGUGACGGCGCGAGCAGGUGCGAAAGCAGGUCAUAGUGAUCCGGUGGUUCUGAAUGGAAGGGCCAUCGCUCAACGGAUAAAAGGUACUCCGGGGAUAACAGGCUGAUACCGCCCAAGAGUUCAUAUCGACGGCGGUGUUUGGCACCUCGAUGUCGGCUCAUCACAUCCUGGGGCUGAAGUAGGUCCCAAGGGUAUGGCUGUUCGCCAUUUAAAGUGGUACGCGAGCUGGGUUUAGAACGUCGUGAGACAGUUCGGUCCCUAUCUGCCGUGGGCGCUGGAGAACUGAGGGGGGCUGCUCCUAGUACGAGAGGACCGGAGUGGACGCAUCACUGGUGUUCGGGUUGUCAUGCCAAUGGCACUGCCCGGUAGCUAAAUGCGGAAGAGAUAAGUGCUGAAAGCAUCUAAGCACGAAACUUGCCCCGAG
rnacentral:rRNA from 1 species